rnacentral:misc_RNA from 1 species
CUGAGUUAGGGUCCCACGGCCCGACCUCCAACCCUUGUGUUAAAUUACUAUGUUGCUUUGGCGGGCCCGGGGGUGAGCCCGCCGGGGGUUUUCGGUCCCUGGCCAGCGCCCGCCAAUGGCCCUCUUAAACUCGAUUAAAAUAUGCCGAGCUUAGUUAUAUUUUUAAUUGUUA